AUGGUGCCUUGAAAUUCAAACUUACUCAUGCUCUCGUUUUCUUUUCUCUAUGUCCCAGGUUGGUUUCACCUUCUAUCCUCUACUAUUGUGCUGCAUUCUCUCUUAACCCCUUUAUUCCCUUCAAAUAUUCCUUCUUUUCUCUCUGCACGCAUCCCUUUCUGCUUUCCAUGUGAUGAAUUUUCUUUUGUUUCCAUUCCUCAUCUUUAUUAUUUUAUAAAUAAAAAAAUGCACUUGUCUGAAUUAUUUUUCUUUCUCAUUCCUCUUUACAACAUUGUCUAUUUCUCUUUAUCCUACCUAGAGGGUGAUUCCUAGGUAGCAUUAUGUUUCUCAGGUGCCUAGAGUUCUUUCCUACGUAUAUUUGAUUUGUAUGUCAGCCCGUCAUUUUAUUCCUUCCUUCCAUGAGCCCAUGCUCUCCUUCACUUGCUGCCUUUCAAUGGGCGUUAUGUUUACUUUGUUUCUCUCAUGCCGCUAUUGCAACUCUGGAGAUUGGAGUUCUUCUUUUUUGUUCCCCUUACUAGACUACUACAGACGACUGCUACUGCCAUCUCCAUCACCAUACAGUUUCUUCAUUCAAAUCUUGCUAUGCUGUGCGCGCUCAAUUUGCGGGGGAGUGUUAUGGAGUUAUAAUAGUAUUUCAGUUAUAAUAGUUAAUCCUACUAAUGAUAAGAAAUAGUCAGUUGUCAGUUACGUUGUUAUUAGGCCAUAACUCCAUAUUUAUAUUUGUGAUAAUGACUUGUUGUAACUGUAGAUUAUUCUCUACAGACUUUAUAUAUAUUGUAUAAUGAUCAUAUGAAUAAUAUAAUGGAAAAUCAAUUUCUUCAGAAGGAAACCCAGCUGCAACUGAGAAUCCCCCAAUAGGGAAGAAGUUUAGCCCUCGGGGAAAAAAGAAAGCAGACAUGUGCGUUAUUGAGGGAUGCCUCUUAGCCUUAUGCUGCUGUUGGCUUUGUGAGGAAUGCUUCUGAAUUUACCAUAAGCACGACUACCAUAAUAGCUUCCUAGCUUACUCUUUUAUCUUUGUUUAGCUUGGGGCGGUUGGCUGACUUAUUAUUUUUCCCUGUGUAUCCACAUAUUGUAAUAAUAUACCAUCAUAUUUUCCUUUUCCGCUCA